rnacentral:sRNA from 1 species
AUAUAUUUAGUUCAAGAUUUUCUCAGAAUCAAACGAAUCAGUUUGUCAUAUUUAUCCUGCGAUACCUUUUUCUUCAUUUCCAAUUUAGUAGCUUCAAUUUAUUAUUUUUGCGAGAUAUUUAUGUCUAUUAAAACUACUGGUUCAGUAAAAUGGUUCAACGAAACAAAAGGCUUUGGCUUUAUCACCCCUGAUAACGGUGGCGCCGAUGUAUUUGUUCACUUCAGAGCCAUUGCCGUUGACGGCUUCAAGACCCUGGCCGAAGGCCAACAGGUUCAGUUUAACGUAGAGCAGGGCAACAAAGGCCCACAAGCUGCAAACGUUACCCUGCUGUAACUGCUUGUUUUUAGGUGUCUGCUGCGUAGCAGACACCUGCAC